rnacentral:rRNA from 1 species
GGCAACACGGGUAGCAAUAUCUGGUGGCGACCGGCGCACGGGUGAGUAACGCGUAUGCAACCUGCCCAUAACAAGGGGAUAGCUCCCGGAAACGGGGAUUAAUACCCUAUAGUAUCCCGAUGGCGCAUGCCAACGGGAUUAAAACUACGGUGGUUAUGGAUGGGCAUGCGUGCCAUUAGUUAGUUGGCGGGGUAACGGCCCACCAAGGCAUUGAUGGCUAGGGGGUCUAAAAGGAUGAUCCCCCACACUGGUACUGAGACACGGACCAGACUCCUACGGGAGGCAGCAGUGAGGAAUAUUGGUCAAUGGGCGAGAGCCUGAACCAGCCAUGCCGCGUGCAGGAAGACGGCCCUACGGGUUGUAAACUGCUUUUGUGUGGGAAGAAAAAGCCUUACGUGUAGGGCACUGACGGUACCAUAUGAAUAAGCAUCGGCUAACUCCGUGCCAGCAGCCGCGGUAAUACGGAGGAUGCGAGCGUUAUCCGGAUUUAUUAGGUUUAAAGGGUGUGUAGGCGGAAGCUUAAGUCAGUGGUGAAAUCCCCCGGCUCAACCGGGGAACUGCCAUAGAUACUGGGUUUCUUGAGUACAGUUGAAGUAGGCGGAAUGUGUAAUGUAGCGGUGAAAUGCAUAGAUAUUACACAGAACACCGAUUGCGAAGGCAGCUUGCUAAGCUGUUACUGACGCUGAUGCACGAAAGCGUGGGGAGCGAACAGGAUUAGAUACCCUGGUAGUCCACGCCGUAAACGAUGAUUACUCGUUGCUGGCGAUAUAUAGUCAGCGACUGAGCGAAAGCAUUAAGUAA